AGAGUUUGAUCCUGGCUCAGAUUGAACGCUGGCGGCAUGCUUUACACAUGCAAGUCGAACGGCAGCAUAGAGAGCUUGCUCUCUGAUGGCGAGUGGCGAACGGGUGAGUAAUACAUCGGAACGUGUCCGUUUGUGGGGGACAACCACCCGAAAGGGUGGCUAAUACCGCAUAAGACCUGAGGGUGAAAGCCGGGGACCGCAAGGCCUGGCGCGAACGGAGCGGCCGAUGACUGAUUAGCUGGUUGGCGGGGUAAAGGCCCACCAAGGCGACGAUCAGUAGCUGGUCUGAGAGGACGACCAGCCACACUGGAACUGAGACACGGUCCAGACUCCUACGGGAGGCAGCAGUGGGGAAUUUUGGACAAUGGGGGCAACCCUGAUCCAGCCAUGCCGCGUGCGGGAAGAAGGCCUUCGGGUUGUAAACCGCUUUUGUCAGGGACGAAAAGGUGCGGGUUAAGAGCUAGCACUGAUGACGGUACCUGAAGAAUAAGCACCGGCUAACUACGUGCCAGCAGCCGCGGUAAUACGUAGGGUGCGAGCGUUAAUCGGAAUUACUGGGCGUAAAGCGUGCGCAGGCGGUUGGGUAAGACAGAUGUGAAAUCCCCGGGCUUAACCUGGGAACUGCAUUUGUGACUGUCCGACUGGAGUAUGUCAGAGGGGGGUGGAAUUCCAAGUGUAGCAGUGAAAUGCGUAGAUAUUUGGAAGAACACCGAUGGCGAAGGCAGCCCCCUGGGGCAAAACUGACGCUCAUGCACGAAAGCGUGGGGAGCAAACAGGAUUAGAUACCCUGGUAGUCCACGCCCUAAACGAUGUCUACUGGUUGUUGGAGGGUAAAACCUUCAGUAACGAAGCUAACGCGUGAAGUAGACCGCCUGGGGAGUACGGUCGCAAGAUUAAAACUCAAAGGAA
rnacentral:rRNA from 1 species